UACGUAGGGUGCGAGCGUUAAUCGGAAUUACUGGGCGUAAAGCGUGCGCAGGCGGUUUUGUAAGACAGAUGUGAAAUCCCCGGGCUCAACCUGGGAACUGCGUUUGUGACUGCAAGACUUGAGUAUGGCAGAGGGGGGUAGAAUUCCACGUGUAGCAGUGAAAUGCGUAGAGAUGUGGAGGAACACCGAUGGCGAAGGCAGCCCCCUGGGCUAACACUGACGCUCAGGCACGAAAGCGUGGGGAGCAAACAGG
rnacentral:rRNA from 1 species